UUAUAUUAAAUGAUUAAUAUUUAUUGAAUUCCAAAACAUUAAUUAAGUAUCUCAUUUGAAAAUCCAUUCAGCUGAGGGAUUAUUCACGUCCAAUCUCCAAACCUGAGUCUCUACCACACCAAUCUCAACCAGAUAUAAUAUUUUCAGAAGAACUAGAAGAAGAAAUAACAGAAUUUAAAGUGGAAAAUGAGAGAAGUUUUGAUAAGAGUGCAGAAAAUCAAGAAUUUAGUGUGUCUGACCCUAAUGGACCACAGGAAUCUUCUACAACAGGUCCCAACUCAUCCAAAAUGGACAAUGAUGCAGAAAAAAAUGUAAUAAUGCAUCAGGAGAGAACAUCUGUCAUGGAAGACCAAGAGCAUGCCUCAGAAGAGCAGAAGCAGCACAGUGCUAGAAAAACUAAGCGGCCAUUUAUUGAUGCUAUAAGAGCAUGCUUUUGUGCAUGUUUCACCAAAAAACGGAGCUCUUCUUCCCACUACAAGAAAUAGAAGAGAAAACAUAAAAAAGUGAUGAACUUGGACAAGCCUCGACAAUUGCCUGACAACUUCUCCGACCAUCCACAAUAAGACAACUCAGGAGAAAAUCUGUCUCUUCUCCAAUAAUUGCUUCAAAAAAAAGCAUAUUUUUAUUUUAUGUUUUAGAAUAAUAUUACAUAAUCUUCAGUGUUAUUUUCACCUAUUUAUUUUGUUUUAUUAUGUUAUACUAUAUUACACUAUUAUAUUAUCUUCA